UGGGCCUGGAACUGUCUCCCGGAAUCCACUAAAUAUUAGAGAUUACAAGUGUAUUUUAACCUCAAGAUCUUUGCAGUAUCUGUCUUGGUUUAAACUUAGCUUCUAAUCUCUCAAGAACACUCACAAGCUUAUACUUUGAAAAAUGCUCUCUCUUUUUGCUUACACCUAUCUCUCUUAGAGCUGGGAAUUUUAGUCAUUGCCCGCGGUCCCCACCCCGUUUGAUCCGCUGCAGGGCAGGUGCAAGUCGAACAAUUUGAAAAUUUUCAAUUACCGGUGCGGGUCAAGAUCAUUUUAAGCGGGACGGGUACACGUCAGUUGAAGUCGAUGGUACCGAUUAACCCGCAAAUUUUUUUUUAAAGAAAUAUUUUUUUUUAGAAAUGUUUUUUUUUGUAAAAAUAUAUAAAUAUCCUAAAUAUUUAAUUAUAAUUUUAAUUAUAAAUAUAUUAUUUUAAUGGAAUUUUUAAUUAAAAUAAUUAUUUUUAAUUAAUUUAAAUUUUUUAAUAUAAUUAAUAUUACCGCGGGUUUUGGCGGUGUACCCGCUAGUUUUUGCUGGGCGGGUGCGGGUAGAAAAUUUUUUGUUUGCGUAUUAUGCAGGUAGAAUUUUUGAAUCGAAAAAAUGAUUCAACCCGCUCGGAGCGGGGCAGGUUGACCUGCAAACUCAACACUAAUCUCUCUCUACAAUGUCUGCUUUAAAUACAACUCCCACUUGACCUAAAGCACCUCUGGGUUGCACCAGCUAAGCAUGCUCAUCCGUACAGUUCAUUAAAUACACAAUGUUAACUUCUUGUACAGA
rnacentral:lncRNA from 1 species